rnacentral:rRNA from 1 species
UACGAAGGGGGCUAGCGUUGUUCGGAUUUACUGGGCGUAAAGCGCACGUAGGCGGACUAUUAAGUCAGGGGUGAAAUCCCGGGGCUCAACCCCGGAACUGCCUUUGAUACUGGUAGUCUUGAGUUCGAGAGAGGUGAGUGGAAUUCCGAGUGUAGAGGUGAAAUUCGUAGAUAUUCGGAGGAACACCAGUGGCGAAGGCGGCUCACUGGCUCGAUACUGACGCUGAGGUGCGAAAGCGUGGGGGAGCAAACAGGAUUAGAUACCCUGGUAGUCCACGCCGUAAACUAUGAGAGCUAGCCGUCGGGCAGUAUACUGUUCGGUGGCGCAGCAAACGCAUUAAGCUCUCCGCCUGGGGAGUACGGUCGCAAGAUUAAAACUCAA